UGCUAUGCCUGAAAUAAAAGAACACCAUAAGAUGUCAACCAACAGAAUCUGUCUCUUCUGUAGCGGUGAACACAUGCUGGAUGUCUGUAAUAAACUUACCAGAAAAAGUCACAGAGAAAAAAUGAACUUUCUGAUGAUGAGAGGAAUCUGCUUUGGCUGCUUGCAUACAGGACACCUCAGCAGGGACUGCAAAAAGAGAAGUAUCUGUAAUGUAUGUAGUCUUAAACAUCCUAGUCUUCUUCACAUUUAUCCUCAUGAGAAGGUAGACACUUUGAGCAAGAAGAAAGACGAAUUCAAGUCAGCGGUUGCUAGUGCUAUGGUCUCUCUCCAAACUAGUGGUCUUACUGGGGCUGGUAAUGACAACUGUGCGUUACCUAUCGUUCCAGUGUGUGUUAAAUCAAAAAAGGGAAAUGGCGUGGUGAUGACGUAUGCUUUUCUCGAUUCUGGGAGUUCCGCUUCUUUUUGUACAGAAAGUUUGAUGAACAAGCUCAACCUCCCUGGAAAGAGAGUUAAUAUUCUUCUCAGAACUAUGAGUCAAGAUAAAUCAGUUGGUAGUUACGUUCUGAAAGACCUGGAGGUUUCUGGCUUGAGUCAAGAAUAUUACUGUGCAUUGCCUGAAGUGUAUACACAGAAGAUCAUGCCCGUGACCACAGUAAACAUCGCCUCACAGAAAGAUCUUGAGUGUUGGCCUUAUUUGAGUCAUAUCUGUUUACCUAUGAUUAACGCUGGCAUUGAGCUUUUGAUUGGAGCUAAUGUUCCAGAAGCAUUGGAGCCUUGGGAGGUCAUACGUAGUCAAAAUAAUGGCCCAUAUGCUGUAAGGACCAUGUUUGGAUGGACCGUUAAUGGACCACUUAAAGGAGUAGGUAUAAAUGGAGACGAUGCUGCCAACCAACUUCCUGUGACUGUGAAUAGGAUUGCAGUAAUGAAAUUGGAAGAGUUGUGGAAGCAGCAAUUUAAGGCCGAUUUUCCAGAGACUGCUCAUGAAGAAAUGUUAGGAACAUCUAAAGAAGAGCAGCAGUUUAUGAAUUUUGUGUCCAAUUCCGCAAGACUGAUUAAUGGUCAUUAUUACAUCGGUCUACCAUUCAGAAAUGCUGAAGUAGCCAUGCCUAUGAACAGGAGAAUUGCAGAACAACGUGCUUUAACUCUUCAAAAAAGGUUUAAAGUGAAUUCUUCCUUUCAUGCAGAUUACACUGUCUUUAUGGAGGAUGUGAUCCGUAAGGGUUAUGCAGAAAGGGUACCUGCGAUUG
ensembl:lncRNA